UCAGAAAAUUAUUGGAAAAUGACAAUUGAAGAUAUCAUAUUCAAAUUCGAUAGAUUACACACCUAAACUAAACUAAAGUCCGAAUAACUUUAUUUCUCGGUCUUGAUUUUGAAAUUUGUAAUCCAUCCAAUGUCUAGUUCGAUUCAAUAGUUGGUUCAAUCUAAGGAUCAGUAUCGCUUAUUCCUCCGAUUCGCCCUUUGGAGUACUUUGAUUUCUAGGUCUUGAUACUCAAAGUUUGUAACCCUCCAAUGUCGAAUUCGAUUCAAUAGUUAGUUCAUUCUCAGGAUCAUGAACGCUUGCCUUGUUUUCUUGAUUCCGUACAGUCCACUGGCUUAGUUAUGUGUUAAGUUUCAUAGUUUGAGACAUUCUUUAAGAGAAUGGUGAUUUUGAUGUUGCUUGUAGGUGUUGAUGUGAGACUGUUAAAACUGACUUUGAAGGGUUAGAACCAUGUGACCCUCGAUCAUCAAAGCUUAUAGGGUAACAUUAUCCACUGCUACGUUCUCCGAUAGCUUGAAGCUCAAGACUUUACUUGUAGAGUAUACUCCUAGGGUGAAGCCCAAGACGGCUGCUGCUACUCGGAAGCCUGUUGGGCGUGGCUGAGGAGUGAGGACGCGGUCUUUAAGAUGUAUUUCUUGUGCAUAUACCAGCUACUGAAAAAUAUUAAGGGAUGUGCCGGAUGGCACGGGUAGGGAAAGGCGGAAGGCACACCGUCUCCCUGGGGAAAGGAGAAAGGCACACCGUAUCCCUGGGGAAAGGAGGAAGGC